GUAGUUAGCCGGGGCUUCCUCCUUGGCUACCGUCAUUUGUUUCGUCACCAAGGACAGAGGUUUACAACCCGAAAGCCUUCUUCCCUCACGCGGCGUUGCUGGGUCAGGCUUGCGCCCAUUGCCCAAUAUUCCCCACUGCUGCCUCCCGUAGGAGUCUGGACCGUAUCUCAGUUCCAGUGUGGCCGAUCAGCCUCUCAGCUCGGCUACCCAUCGUCGACUUGGUGGGCUGUUACUCCGCCAACUAUCUAAUGGGACGCGAACCCCUCUUAUACCGGAUUGCUCCUUUGACCUCAUCCCGAUGCCGAGUCGUGGUCUUAUGCGGUAUUAGCAACCGUUUCCGGUUGUUAUCCCCCUGUACAAGGCAGGUUGUUCACGCGUUACUCACCCGUUCGCCACUAAGUUAUCAACCGAAUCAAUAACUCCGUUCGACUUGCAUGUGUUAGGCACGCCGCCAGCGUUCGUCCUGAGCCAGGAUCAAACUCUGA
rnacentral:rRNA from 1 species